rnacentral:lncRNA from 1 species
AGAAAUGACAUCAGUUAAUACAUAUAACCAAUAUUUUCUUAAACUUUCACCUGAAAGUAUUAAUUAACAAAUUGACAGAGUAGAAAAGACAAAAUACAAGCAAAACGCAGUCAACAGCUGCAAAAGCACAUGAGUCAGUUCUUUUUUUACCAACCAUUGAUGCUUCUGGGUGAGAGGAACUCUGAUGCCACUAAAAAUCUCACAGACCUUCCUGAGUGGUGACACAUAGUUUGCAAAGACUCCUUUCAUGUCACUUAUUAAUAUGAAUCUCUCAAAAUUUAAUAAUGUUCCAACACCUGUUCAAAUCUUCAUAUUAGUGUGAAACCAUGUGCAUAGGGAACAGUGUAUAGCUGCCUACUGUAAAGAAAAAUGCAUUUUCUUGUCCAACAAAAUGACAGAUUCACUCCCAAACUUUCAGUGUUUGUUGUACUGUGCUCUCAGAAUAUGUCACAACCAUAUCAUACUAGAAGUCUGUACAAAGCAGUCUCAAGUUUGUGACGUGUGACAAAACCUUGUAAAAGGUCAGUGUUUUGUCAUUGAAAAGAAAACAAGCAUCAUUAAAUCUGAUAUUUUCUUGUCAGUGCAGACAGUAAGUGUCCAUAAUCAAACCAAAACAAUGGGAAAGUCUAUAAAGUUAAUCAAUGUUUUUAUCACAGUUUGCAAUUUGAGGAUAUUUGUUUGAAUUUUAUGUAGUACCAGCAACUAUUGCAAUUGGAAAAAGCAAGGUCUGUCAAGUGGUUGUGUGAGGCAUCUUGUGUGUUGGUAAAGUGUCUAGGUACUUGCCACCUCUUUCUGGCAAGCCUUACCAUUGGCUAGUAUCACUGUUUCUACAGCAUUUGUGAAGAGACAGAAACCUGCAUAAUUCUCUCCUGCAGUAUUAUUAACCUCUCCACAAGUCUUUGUACUGUCUCCAAGUGGUGACAAGUGAAAACUCUGCCCCCAGGCCAAACUGCAAGGGCUCAGAAGAAUUUGGCCUCCAGAUGUGUGACAUGCAUGGACAACCCUUUUUGUAAACAUGUCCUGGUACCCUACAAACCAAAUCCCCAGCUGUGGAAAAACAGCACCUGGGAGAAGCAAAGUAUGUCAGUCAUCAGUCAGUCAUUUGUCUGGUACUUGUCACUGGGGGGAACACGGAGAGAUAAGGCAACUGAUAGGGCCCACACUCUCACCUAUUUUAGGCCAUUGUGAUAUGGUCCUGCACAGGAUGAACAAAUAGUAACUCCUUACGUGUUUAACAAUACGCUGUCAUAGUUGGAGCACUUGUUUGGAACAGAAUAUGAAUAGGUAGUGAUAUGCAUACUGUAAAUCAGGGAUGCCCAACCUACGGCCCGCGGGCCAUAUCCGGCCCGCGAAACUUCUGCCCACAGUACAGGAAAUCGGCAUGUUAGUAAUAAAAAAAAAAAAUCUAAAAAAAAAAACAAAAAAAACAAAAACAAAACAAAAAAUAAACUGAAAAAAAAGGAAGAGGUAUUUAUCCCUACGUAGUGGCGCCUCUCAAUCUGUUUUUCGAUAGACGAACAUUUCGAUUCAGUGCUCCGACUUGCCAAAUGCUCUACGAUGCAGCCAGACAUUCUGAAGUUGGUUUCGGGAAAACAACUUCAAAUAUCCCACUAAUUAGUACAUAAUUAAUGAUGAACACUGAUUUGUCAGACCAAGUCUGUGAGAAACUGAUUGCUGACAACUGCAUGCCUUCAGAGGUGAAUGAAGCUUGCAGUACUGUUGACUUUCCUUGAAAGAUGCCUUGAACUUCCUAUGAUGUGCUUCAAGAACAUCAGCAAGGAAAAAGUAUGUGCAAAAUUUCCUGUGGCAAUGGCAGACCAAGACAACCUAGAUCAAUUGAUGAGAUGAGCACUUCGGUUGCUUCACCUUGACUGUGUUUUGAAGCUUUUACUAUCAUGAUUAGCACUACCUUUGAUAAAAAUACAAUACAUAGAAAAAGGGUAUCAAACACUUAAAUGUGGACGAUUAAAGGACAAUACGAAUAAAAAGAAGCAGUUUUGCAAAAAAGCUGAAUGCUUCUCUCUAUCUUUUCCUCUUAGUGCAUCAGGUUGCACAUAAGGCCUCAACC